GCCCUUGUAGUAUAAAUUUAUCACGCUAGCCUUGUAAACUAGAAAUGGAAUUCAUAAUCCCUAGGGCA
rnacentral:tRNA from 1 species